AUGGCGAUGAAGAAGACGAGCACCCUGUGCUGCAGCUUCGUGGCCGCCCUCGUGGUGGUCAUGGCUGCCACCCUCCUCCUCUCCUCAUGCGAUGCCCACAAAGAGAUGGAUGAUCUUGCUGCUUCUUUUGUGCCGGCGUCGUGCUACUCCAACUACUUCCCGCACUGCACCGAUCACCGGUGCAAGAAGUUCUGCGGCGGCGUGCGGGCGCCGCCGGUGCCCGGAGCCUUCUGUAACGACAGAAGCAACUGCUGCUGCCCCGUUAGUUGA
rnacentral:rRNA from 1 species